UUAAGCGACUAAGCGUACACGGUGGAUGCCCUGGCAGUCAGAGGCGAUGAAGGACGUGCUAAUCUGCGAAAAGCGCCGGCGAGGUGAUAUGAACCUUUGACCCGGCGAUGUCCGAAUGGGGAAACCCAGUGUGAUUCGUCACACUAUCGUUAACUGAAUACAUAGGUUAACGAGGCGAACCGGGGGAACUGAAACAUCUAAGUACCCCGAGGAAAAGAAAUCAACCGAGAUUCCCCCAGUAGCGGCGAGCGAACGGGGAGCAGCCCAGAGUCUGAAUCAGCUUGUGUGUUAGUGGAAGCGUCUGGAAAGUCGCACGGUACAGGGUGACAGUCCCGUACACGAAAGCACACAGGUUGUGAACUCGAAGAGUAGGGCGGGACACGUGGUAUCCUGUCUGAAUAUGGGGGGACCAUCCUCCAAGGCUAAAUACUCCUGACUGACCGAUAGUGAACCAGUACCGUGAGGGAAAGGCGAAAAGAACCCCGGCGAGGGGAGUGAAAAAGAACCUGAAACCGUGUACGUACAAGCAGUGGGAGCCUCUUUUAUGGGGUGACUGCGUACCUUUUGUAUAAUGGGUCAGCGACUUAUAUUCUGUAGCAAGGUUAACCGUAUAGGGGAGCCGAAGGGAAACCGAGUCUUAACUGGGCGUUAAGUUGCAGGGUAUAGACCCGAAACCCGGUGAUCUAGCCAUGGGCAGGUUGAAGGUUGGGUAACACUAACUGGAGGACCGAACCGACUAAUGUUGAAAAAUUAGCGGAUGACUUGUGGCUGGGGGUGAAAGGCCAAUCAAACCGGGAGAUAGCUGGUUCUCCCCGAAAGCUAUUUAGGUAGCGCCUCGUGAACUCAUCUUCGGGGGUAGAGCACUGUUUCGGCUAGGGGGCCAUCCCGGCUUACCAACCCGAUGCAAACUACGAAUACCGAAGAAUGUUAUCACGGGAGACACACGGCGGGUGCUAACGUCCGUCGUGAAGAGGGAAACAACCCAGACCGCCAGCUAAGGUCCCAAAGUCAUGGUUAAGUGGGAAACGAUGUGGGAAGGCACAGACAGCCAGGAUGUUGGCUUAGAAGCAGCCAUCAUUUAAAGAAAGCGUAAUAGCUCACUGGUCGAGUCGGCCUGCGCGGAAGAUGUAACGGGGCUAAACCAUGCACCGAAGCUGCGGCAGCGACACUAUGUGUUGUUGGGUAGGGGAGCGUUCUGUAAGCCGUUGAAGGUGUCCUGUGAGGGGUGCUGGAGGUAUCAGAAGUGCGAAUGCUGACAUAAGUAACGAUAAAGCGGGUGAAAAGCCCGCUCGCCGGAAGACCAAGGGUUCCUGUCCAACGUUAAUCGGGGCAGGGUGAGUCGACCCCUAAGGCGAGGCCGAAAGGCGUAGUCGAUGGGAAACAGGUUAAUAUUCCUGUACUUGGUGUUACUGCGAAGGGGGGACGGAGAAGGCUAUGUUAGCCGGGCGACGGUUGUCCCGGUUUAAGCAUGUAGGCGGAGGUUCCAGGUAAAUCCGGUUCCUUAUUAACGCUGAGGUGUGAUGACGAGGCACUACGGUGCUGAAGUAACAAAUGCCCUGCUUCCAGGAAAAGCCUCUAAGCAUCAGGUAACAUCAAAUCGUACCCCAAACCGACACAGGUGGUCAGGUAGAGAAUACCAAGGCGCUUGAGAGAACUCGGGUGAAGGAACUAGGCAAAAUGGUGCCGUAACUUCGGGAGAAGGCACGCUGAUAUGUAGGUGAAGCCCCUGCGGGUGGAGCUGAAAUCAGUCGAAGAUACCAGCUGGCUGCAACUGUUUAUUAAAAACACAGCACUGUGCAAACACGAAAGUGGACGUAUACGGUGUGACGCCUGCCCGGUGCCGGAAGGUUAAUUGAUGGGGUUAGCGGCAACGCGAAGCUCUUGAUCGAAGCCCCGGUAAACGGCGGCCGUAACUAUAACGGUCCUAAGGUAGCGAAAUUCCUUGUCGGGUAAGUUCCGACCUGCACGAAUGGCGUAAUGAUGGCCAGGCUGUCUCCACCCGAGACUCAGUGAAAUUGAACUCGCUGUGAAGAUGCAGUGUACCCGCGGCAAGACGGAAAGACCCCGUGAACCUUUACUAUAGCUUGACACUGAACACUGGUCCUUGAUGUGUAGGAUAGGUGGGAGGCUUUGAAGCGUGGACGCCAGUCUGCGUGGAGCCAACCUUGAAAUACCACCCUUUAAUGGCUGGUGUUCUAACGUAGACCCGUGAUCCGGGUUGCGGACAGUGUCUGGUGGGUAGUUUGACUGGGGCGGUCUCCUCCCAAAGAGUAACGGAGGAGCACGAAGGUUAGCUAAUCCUGGUCGGACAUCAGGAGGUUAGUGCAAUGGCAUAAGCUAGCUUGACUGCGAGAGUGACGGCUCGAGCAGGUGCGAAAGCAGGUCAUAGUGAUCCGGUGGUUCUGAAUGGAAGGGCCAUCGCUCAACGGAUAAAAGGUACUCCGGGGAUAACAGGCUGAUACCGCCCAAGAGUUCAUAUCGACGGCGGUGUUUGGCACCUCGAUGUCGGCUCAUCACAUCCUGGGGCUGAAGUAGGUCCCAAGGGUAUGGCUGUUCGCCAUUUAAAGUGGUACGCGAGCUGGGUUUAGAACGUCGUGAGACAGUUCGGUCCCUAUCUGCCGUGGGCGCUGGAGAAUUGAGGGGGGCUGCUCCUAGUACGAGAGGACCGGAGUGGACGCAUCACUGGUGUUCGGGUUGUCAUGCCAAUGGCACUGCCCGGUAGCUAAAUGCGGAAGAGAUAAGUGCUGAAAGCAUCUAAGCACGAAACUUGCCCCGAGAUGAGUUCUCCCUGAGACUUUAAGUCUCCUGAAGGAACGUUGAAGACUACGACGUUGAUAGGUCGGGUGUGUAAGCGCAGCGAUGCGUUGAGCUAACCGAUACUAAUGAACCGUGAGGCUUAACCUU
rnacentral:rRNA from 1 species